AGAUGGCAUGUUUCAAGAUGUUGAAGAAAUUAUUAGAAGGCAAAUAAAUAUGUCAGUACUUCCAAGUGUUCAACCUUUCCAUGCCAUUGCUUAUCCUAUUGAUCCAUUGCUUGCUUUGGAAAUAAGCAGUAAAUAUGCGGCCCACUGUUCCUUGAUUGCCUCUCCUUUUGGGCUGCCGCCUUUUGUGCAUCCACCUCCUGUUCCUGUAAAAGCAGAGGGUAAACACUGCCGAUUAAAGUAGGAUAUGUGAGUAGUGAUUUUGGAAAUCACCCCCUUUCCCAUCUCAUGAGAUCAGUAUUUGGAAUGCAUGAUCGUGCCAAUAUCGAGGUCUUUUGCUAUGCACACAGUCAAAACGAUGGUACUGAGUGGAGGCAGCGUAUUCAGUCUGAGGCAGAACAUUUUGUCGAUGUUUCUGUCAUGACUUCCGAUAAUAUCGCCAAGCUUAUCAAUCAAGACAAAAUACAGAUUUUGAUAAAUCUUAAUGGCUAC